rnacentral:rRNA from 1 species
UUUAUUGGAGAGUUUGAUCCUGGCUCAGGAUGAACGCUGGCGGCGUGCCUAAUACAUGCAAGUCGAGCGAAUGGAUUAAGAGCUUGCUCUCAAGAAGUUAGCGGCGGACGGGUGAGUAACACGUGGGUAACCUGCCCAUAAGACUGGGAUAACUCCGGGAAACCGGGGCUAAUACCGGAUAACAUUUUGAACUGCAUGGUUCGAAAUUGAAAGGCGGCUU